GUCCCUGUAGUUUAAUGGAUAAAACGGCUCCCUCCUAAGGAGCAGAUCCAGGUUCGAUUCCUAGUGGGGACA
rnacentral:tRNA from 1 species